AAAAGUGCUUAUUUGAGCUAUCAUAUGUGGGCAUCUUUCACUCCAUUUCCUUGCUAAAAUGUCGAAACCACCUUUGUUUCAGAUGAAAUGCAAUACAAUGAUAAUCUAUCUUGGUACCUUUGAUUUGUGUGUUAUUAUGCAGGAAGUAGGCAUGAAAUAAUAGAAAAUGAAGACACAAGAAAUGUGGCAAAGGAAUCAAAUAAAACAAGCAUUCAUCAGCUUCCUCGCUAGGCGAGGGCUG
rnacentral:lncRNA from 1 species